UACGAAGGGGGCUAGCGUUGUUCGGAAUUACUGGGCGUAAAGGGCGCGUAGGCGGUCUGAUAAGUUAGGUGUGAAAUUCCCGGGCUUAACCUGGGGGCUGCACUUAAUACUGUUGGGCUUGAAUUCGGGAGAGGAUAGUGGAAUUCCCAGUGUAGAGGUGAAAUUCGUAGAUAUUGGGAAGAACACCAGUGGCGAAGGCGACUAUCUGGACCGACAUUGACGCUGAGGCGCGAAAGCGUGGGGAGCAAACAGG
rnacentral:rRNA from 1 species